rnacentral:lncRNA from 1 species
CGCGGUCGCGGGCCAAACUGCUCGAAACCAUGGCUGCCGGGUCUUCGGAGGCAGAGACGGAGGCGGAGGCGCUGGCCGCGGCGCAGGAGCGGAGCCGCCUCUUCCUGAGCGGCCUGGAGCUGGUGCAGCAGGGCGCCGAGGCUCGAGUGUUCCGUGGCCGCUUCCAGGGCCGAGCGGCCGUGGUGAAGCACCGCUUCCCUAAGGGCUACCGGCACCCGGAGCUGGAGGCGCGGCUUGGCCGGCGGCGGACGGUGCAGGAGGCUCGCGCGCUGUUGCGCUGCCGCCGUGCUGGUGAGGAGGGCCGGACGGGGCUCCGGGAGACGGGUCGGGACGGAAGAGACCGGGCUCGGGGAGACCGGUCGGACGGGACAGACGGAGCUCCGGGAGACCGGUGGGGACCGGAGAGACGGGGCUCCCGGAGACGGAUUUGGACGGGACAGACCGGGCUUCCGGAAACGGGUCCGGACGGGACAGACAGAGCUCCGAGUUCCAGGUGCGGAAUCAGAUGGCAAUGCUUAAGGACUCACUGUGACACUCAGAACGCCAUUCCUCUUGGUUCGCGGGACUACGCAGCUGUUUCUCAGCUUGUUUAGCGCCCAGAGCCCUCAGUUUCUCCUUUCUGCGGUUUCUACUUACCGUCCUCCUCUCUCCAUUUGGUAGUUUUAAGCAGCAGGUGUCCUGACAGUCAAGGCAUAAGCAUCCGUGUUCGUAUGCUGACAUAGUUCAAUAAAUGUCUGAUUUUAUUAAAUUGCUUAUUUUCUCUUUAAAAAACAUCCGCCAACAAAACAACAACACCAUUACUCCAGAGAAAAUGAGACACAGAGGACAAGUGCCCAAGGUUCCACAGCUACCUGGUAGUCUACCUGUGGCCCAGAAGCACCGACCCUUUGCUUUUUCUCAUUAGU